CCUACGGGAGGCUGCAGUGAGGAAUAUUGGUCAAUGGACGAGAGUCUGAACCAGCCAAGUAGCGUGAAGGAUGACUGCCCUAUGGGUUGUAAACUUCUUUUAUAUGGGAAUAAAAUGUUCCACGUGUGGGAUUUUGUAUGUACCAUAUGAAUAAGGAUCGGCUAACUCCGGGCCAGCAGCCGCGGUAAUACGGAGGAUCCGAGCGUUAUCCGGAUUUAUUGGGUUUAAAGGGAGCGUAGGUGGAUUGUUAAGUCAGUUGUGAAAGUUUGCGGCUCAACCGUAAAAUUGCAGUUGAAACUGGCAGUCUUGAGUACAGUAGAGGUGGGCGGAAUUCGUGGUGUAGCGGUGAAAUGCUUAGAUAUCACGAAGAACUCCGAUUGCGAAGGCAGUUCACUGGACUGCAACUGACACUGAGGCUCGAAAGUGUGGGUAUCAAACAGGAUUAGAUACCCUAGUAGUC
rnacentral:rRNA from 1 species